GGCAGGAUAGCUAGAUGGCAGACUCUCAUGAGUGAGUAUGUUUUCACAAUCAAUCAUUUGCCUGGCAAGGAAAAUAUAGUAGCAGAUUUUUUUUAUCAAGGAUGAAGGCUCACAGGACACUGAGAUUGAAUUAGAAGGACACGCGCGAUAAUGUUUGUGGAUGAGGAACAACAAAAACCGUGGAACACGUGGAUAAUGAGGGGCAAGGUAUUGCACUAGUGCAGAAAAAGAAACAGGCGCCGAAAAAUUAGAAAAUAAAAUACAUGAUAUGUAUGGACCUGAAUAGUGAGUGUAUUGGCCACACACUUGACUGGAGUAUUCAGGAGAUUAGUGAGCUGCAUGAUGAGCAGCCAGCAUAUAAGUAUGCUAAAAGAAGGAAGCCCCAAGAAUGAAAAUUGAGCAAAGACUCAGAGAAAAAAGGCAUAAUGUGAGAUGCCGCCCCUGUUAGAGGUACAGGUGGAAAUUAUGUUAUAUUGUGUUGAAGAUGGGCAUAAUGUGAGAUGCCGCCCCUGUCAGAGUUACAGGUGGAAAUAAUUGAUGUGUUUUAGUGAGUCCGUACGGAGAAGCCACGCAGGUGGUGAUUCUACCCCCCAAGUAUUUCCAAGGCGAUAACUCUGGCUCAUUCGUCGCCACUGCAGGGCACGGAGGAACCAAAGUUACGUUAUGUCGGUGUAGAAAGUUCGCUUUCUGGCCUGGAAUGAAACGGGAUGUAGAAAAUUAUGUAAGGAAGUGUGUCAUAGUAGUCGUUUUAAAAGUGAGUUGGGAACUUGCACCCUGCUCCUUGGCGGCAAUAUCCAGACGUCACCGCUCCUUUUGGAAGAAUACACAUGGACCUUGUGGGUCCCAUGGGUGUAUCGGACAAUGGGGUUCGAUACGUAAUGCCCAUAGUUGAUGUUUUUAAAAGGUAUUUGAUUAUAGUACCCUUACGGAGUAAGGAAGCCCGCGAAAUGGCAAGGGCGUUGUACGUGGAUGUUGUUUGUGUACACGGUGUUCCUCAGACAGUUGUUACAGGUCAAGGUUCAGAGUUCGUUAAUUCCGUGAUGCAGGAGAUAAAUUAGAAGCUACCUGUGCGACACGCGAAUAACGGCUUACCAUACAAAUGGGAAUGGAAUAAUAAAGCGCGCAAAUUAUACUGUUGUUAACAUUUUGAGGAGAAUGUUCUAGGAAAUGUGUCCGUUUGGGAUAUAAUGCUACUUAUAGACAUCUUGGCCUAUAAUCCUGCGUAUUAUCGCACCAUAAAGGAGUCCCCAUUUUAUCGAGAGAGACAGAGAGAGAAUUUUUAGAGAUCCUCCUGUACCCUACACUAUGUUAGAAAAAAAUUCAGCAGCCCUGGUAUGAUAUUUACUCCUAUAAAGAGGAAAUGGUUGUAAUUGCAAGGAAAGUUUAUGAUAUUGAAUCCUAUAAAUAGGAAAUGGUUGCAAUUGCGAGGAAAGUUUAUGAUAUUGACUCCUAUAAAUAGGAACUGGUUGCAAUUGCGAGGAAAGUUUAUGAUAUUGACUCCUAUAAAUAGGAACUGGUUGCAAUUGCGAGGAAAGUUUAUGAUAUUGACUCCUAUAAAUAGGAACUGGUUGCAAUUGCGAGGAAAGUUUAUGAUAUUGACUCCUAUAAAUAGGAAAUGGUUGCAAUUGCAAGGAAAGUUUAUGAUAUUGACUCCUAUGAAAAGGAAAUGGCUGCAAUUGCAAAGAAAGUUUAUGAUAGAUACCAGGUUUACAAUAAAAAAAGUAGAGAAGAAAUGGAAAAGUAUUACCAAGUUACAAAAAUCAAAACUAUCAACGUUGGCGACAGAGUGUUCCUCAAACAUACACCAAAAAGAAAAGAAAAGAAAAAGUUGCAACCUAUUUUUGAUGGACCCUACAGGGUAAUAGAGAAGAUCAGUGAUAUAAUGGUAAAAAUUAUAAACCUCAGGACUAGUAAGGUUUCAACGGUCCCCACAGAUAGAGUAAAAGUCCUUCAUGAAGAUUGCAUCGACGUGCAGCAAUGUCCAACGAUUAGGCGAGCAUACCCUUUAAAUCCAGAGACAGACACUGAUCUAUUCUUUGCAUUGCUCAACCCUGAAAUCGCUGAGAAAACUUCUACCGAAAAUAAUGACUCGUAGCGGAGAGGUGACUGCUACUCAUGACACAUUAAAUAAUGUUCGUUCUACAACAGCAAUAAACAGCUGAUGCACAGGCCCUACCUUCUCAGGUUACUCCCAAACUUUCAGAGCCACCUCGGCAUAGAUAAAGCCUUCGCUCUUCGACGGUACAAGAGUUGCCUAAUGUAAUGUCAAAACUAAUACGAUAUAGAACAGGAAUAAUGCAUAAGGAUGAAGAUGCAAUAAUUGAGCGGAAAUAUGACGAAAUAAACCACAGAUUGAUUUGACUCUUUCAGUGUACGACUCAAUGACACAACAGGAGUCCCCAACACGUGCUGGCCAAAGUUUCACACCAACAUACUCUCUAUAUAAUAGUCCUCACAGACAGAGACUAUAGUACCGUUUAGCCUCACAGAAGAUAUUUUAGCUGCAUUAUAUAAAGCACGAAUUUUAACUGCUUCGUUACUUGAAAUGUUAUUCAAAUGUCACCUGAGUAUCCAGCUGAAAAAGCAAUAAAAUACACACUCUUUAAUUUUGAAAACGAAUUCAGUUUAUUGUUGCAUCACCUAAAAAAAGUUUUAGGCUAUGUGAUGACUACUAUUCAAAACAAGCUCAUGCUUCUAUGAAUUAUAGAGAAAAGAAAAAAACGGGAAAUAAUUUUUUUGAGGAUCCUUGUCUAAUAACAUAUUUGGUACCGCGACCCAGGCUCAAGUUGAUGCUAUUCAUGAAAAAAUAGAGGACUAGAGUCAUUAACUGAGAAAGAUUUUAUAUAGUUAAAUGUUUAUUAUGGAAAACUCAACAUCAUUAAGUAAUAUGCAUGCCAUGCAAUCUGCCUUUAAGAGGCUAUAUUCAGCUGUAGAUGUAUUGAACCAAGUUGUGCGCCAUUUUAGUAUAGACUAUGGCAUUAGGAAGAGAAAAAAAUUCCUACAAGAAUUGUUAUAUUUUGACUUAGCAUUGAGACACAUAAGACCAGGUAUACAAGAUUUAUAUUUGAGUCUGCAGGCUCCCCUGCAAACAUACAUAACUCCAACCAUUAUGUGAAACAAACAGUUGUUCAGUACAUUAAAGGAAGCCUAGGAUCGGCCUCCAGGUCUUUUGUGCCUUGCAGUUCUUGAUUUUUUAGCUCUAUAUAGGGAUGUAAUAACUGUCCUCCAGGACAACGGCUUUGCACGAUUCUCGUAAUUUCUAUUUCACCAAACCUUUGCGAGGAGAUCCGAUGGACACCUUUGAUGUCUUUCGAAUCGACUCCCUUCCAUUUUCUGUGCAGAAUAGCACUUACUUUCUUAUGUAUAGUGUUGAUUCAAGAUGUAUUGCCUUCAGUGAGAAUAGGAAAAUAUAUUUUAUGCUUUCUAGUAUAAAACACUGUAACAAGAAUAACCAUAUGUUAGUUUGUCCUCCCACAGGCCCCGUCCAUGAGGCUAGUAACGCAGCCUCUUGUGAAUCGGCUGCUUUCUUGAAACAUGAGUCAGUGAUCAACCUCUGCCACACAAUAAUCUUGAAAACAUUUCCCCCUAUGUUUAUAAAAGGUCCUGGCUACUGGACCUGUUCACUUGCCUCCCCCAUCACUCUGACACUCACAUGCCCUACCCAUCCUGUAAACAGACAUACUGUCAGCCUGACGGAUAAUGGGAUAUUGAUGCUUCGGCAAGGUUCUCUUCGCAGUGCUGAGUCCAUCCCCCUACAGGAGCUAACAGCUGGCUUGCAGCCCCUAAAUUAUGUGGUCGAGCCGGAUCAGCCCUUUCAACCCGCAAUCCAUUGAUGGAUUGUCUUCGCCAUUGUCGUGAUCCUGGUUCUUCUGCUGGUGACGUCUGCCGUGGGGUAUUCCUAUGUCCUACGCUACGCACGACGCCGCCUAAUUCCAGACUCGAACCAACUGCAGACAUUGCAAGGCGUAUCUUCUCCACCAACACCUGUGAGAUCUCAGGGGCGAGAUCUUCCGGAAGGGGAAGUAAUGUCAGGACCCAGAAGACGAGGAAACAGAGGAGUGAGAUAUACAACUGUGUAAACAUCUGACAGGACAAACACUAACAAAAAGGAUGACAUAUAUAUAAGUGUAAACAUCUCAAGUACAAAAGAGGGGAAACAACGAGGGUAAAGGAAAACAGAUACCCAGAGAGGAAAGGCAGGUAUACAACUGUGUAGACAUCUGACAGGACAAACACUAACAAGAAGGGUGACAUAUAUAACAGUGUAAACAUCUCAAGUACAAAAGAGGGGAAACAACGAGGGUAAGGGAAAACAGAUACCCAGACUCAGAUACAUAAAACAGAUACCCAGUGGGCGUGGUCAGAAAGUGUGAACAACCAUUGAAAAAGACUCUGACCCGUGACGUCAGUCGUGGCGACAUGUUAUGAGCCAAUAAUUUAACAGAAAAUCACUGAGGAGUGUCUUAAGACUGACUCACGAAUAGCAGGAGAAGUAAAACAAUACAACAUAAUGAGCGAGCAGAUGGGUGUGACAGGAAGUAUUGGCCACUGGUUAUGUAGAAAAUUAAGGGCGUGUCAAGGAUGUAAGUCCGCCUAAAGCAAAGAAAAAUGUGGCCUAGAAAUCAGUAGUAUGAGUAGACCGAGCUUGGUUCUCGCCUCAAGCAGACCUGCUACUCACUCAGCCGAGAAUGGCUGUUGUGAUCUUAAUCGUGAGUAGAAAUUCGAGAAUCUAAGGGAAACCGACUGUAUUGUCCUGGAGAUUAUAAUGUAGGAGAUGUGAAGUAGGAUUGUGAGUGGGACAGGACUGUGAUUAUUUGUUUGCGAUGUAAAGCAAAGGUAAAACCACUGGGUGUGGUAAAAUUGGGUGUUUCCAUGACUUGUAGUAGAUUAUACUAUAGGAAUGUGUUAUUAGGAUUUUGUGAAGAGAGUACAUAAUGAUUGUGAUGUAAGCAGAGAGAUACAAACCACUGCUUGUGGAACGACGAGUGUUAUUAUUAUUGGCAACAACUGAGCACAUAUUGUAGUAUUAUGUUUAAGACAUGUCGUUUGUCAUAUGUUGCAUCCAUUGCUGAAUAUGCCAGUGUUAUGAUCGUCUGAGCAUAGAAUAUUGCGUAAGGCAAUUACUUUCAUUUAAUUUUAAAUAAAUGUAUAUUUACUUUU